CUUGCUUUCCUUGCCGGCGACCGGCGCACGGGUGAGUAACACGUAUCCAACCUGCCUCAUACUCGGGGAUAGCCUUUCGAAAGAAAGAUUAAUACCCGAUGUUAUAGUCCUACCGCAUGAUGGGAUUAUUAAAGAAUUUCGGUAUGGGAUGGGGAUGCGUUCCAUUAGUUAGUUGGCGGGGUAACGGCCCACCAAGACAACGAUGGAUAGGGGUUCUGAGAGGAAGGUCCCCCACAUUGGAACUGAGACACGGUCCAAACUCCUACGGGAGGCAGCAG
rnacentral:rRNA from 1 species